UACGAAGGGGGCUAGCGUUGCUCGGAAUCACUGGGCGUAAAGGGUGCGUAGGCGGGUCUUUAAGUCAGGGGUGAAAUCCUGGAGCUCAACUCCAGAACUGCCUUUGAUACUGAGGAUCUUGAGUACGGGAGAGGUGAGUGGAACUGCGAGUGUAGAGGUGAAAUUCGUAGAUAUUCGCAAGAACACCAGUGGCGAAGGCGGACUCACUGGCCCGUAACUGACGCUGAGGCACGAAAGCGUGGGGAGCAAACAGGG
rnacentral:rRNA from 1 species